rnacentral:lncRNA from 1 species
AGUUGGAUCUCAUGGAGGCAUUUCCUCAACUGAAGCUCCUUUCUCUGUGAUAACUCCAGCUGUGUCAAGUUGACACAAAACUAGCCAAUACACCUUGUCUUGUCUCUCUGUACUUAUUCCUAGUCCUGCUGCAGCCUGAUGUCAGGACCCUCUGCCAUGCUGAACUCUGGGACUCCACUUCCUGGUACAAAGCUCCCCUAGUGCCUUCCUGCAGCCCCUUCAGCCUUUCUUUCUAGCCCAUCUUCAUUUCUUUGCAACACCAACCAAUGCACAGAAAUGCUUUCUACCUGGGAACCCAGAACCAUCACAUUUGCUUAGGCCACAGACUCAGCAACAGCAGCCAGAGAAAAGAAUACCCACCCAACAGAGAUAAGACCAGAUAUCUACACCAGGAAACACACCAAAUAUCUUAACUUUGUAUGCCUAUAUCCCAGAGCCAAAACACAAACAUGAACAACCAAGACAAUAUGCUUCCUGUAGAAGCCACCAGUGCUAUUACAAUAGGUCCUGAAAAAUACAAUUUAGCUGAAACACAAGACAUGCACUUCCAAAGAGCAAUUAUGAAUAUGUCCAAGGACUUUAAAGAGGGUGUAGAAUUAAUGCCUAAUAGAAGCUGUGAAAAUACAAAUAGUUGAAUGAAAGAAUGGAAACAAUUCAAGACAUGAAAGUAGAACUUAACAAAGAAAUAGAAUCAUUAAAAUAAACCCAAUAUGAAAUUAAAUUAGAAAUCAAAACUUUAGGAUGUCAAAUAAAAAUUUCAGAGGUCAGCCUCACCAACAUAUUAAAUGACAUGGAAGAGAGAUAUCAGAUCUUGAAGAGUGAGAAGAAGAAAAGAUAGCUCAGCCAAAGAGAAUGUUAAAUUUAAAAAAUAUCCAGAUACAAAAUAUCUAGGAAAACUGGGACACUGAAAAAUAUAUAUAAAUAAUAGUGCACUGGAUAGUUUUAUUUCAACUUGACACAAACUACAGUUAUCUUAAAGGAGGAAAUUCAAUUAAGAAAAUGCCUUCAUGCCAGGUGGUGGUGGUGCACGUCUUUAAUCCCAGCACAUGGGAGGUAGAGGCAGGCAGAUUUCUGAGUUCGAGGCCAGGCUGGUCUUCAGAGUGAGUUCCAAGACAUCCAGGGCUACACAGAGAAACCCUGUAUUGAAAACCAAAAAAAAAAAAGCCUCCAUAAAUUCUGGUUGUUGGGAAUUGAUGGAGGAGGGCCCAAUACAUUGUUGAUGGACCUAUUCCUGGUUUGAGCAAGCCAUGAGCAAGACAGUGAAUAGCACUCCCUCAAUGGGCUCUGUAUCAGCUCCUGCAUCCAGGUUCCUGCCUUGCUUGACUUCCUGUUCUCAAUUCUCUCAGUGAUGGACUAUUAUAUGGAAGUAUAAGCCAAACACACCCUUUUCUUCUUGAGUUCAUUUUGGUUAUGGUGUUUCAUUAUAGCAAUAGAAAUCCUAAGACAAAUAGGGAUAGAAGAAGGAAAAGAAACCCUGGUGAAAGGCACAGAAAAAUAUUUUAACAAAAUCAUAGAAGAAAAACUUCCCAACCUAAGAAAAAUAUAUUUAUUAGGAGUCAAGAAACAUACAGUAUAUCAAGUAGAUAGAAUCAUAAAAUAUAUUGUCCACAACAUGUAAUAAUAAAAACAGUAAAUAUACAAAACAAAGAAAGAACAUUAAAAGCUGCAGGGGAAAAAUACAAAGUCACAUGCAAAUGCAUACCCAUUAUAUUAAGAUCUGACUGUUCAAUAGAGAUUUUGAAGGCCAAAAAGUCCAGGAUAAAUUAACUUAGAGAUCAUAGAUGCCAGCAUAGACUACAAUACCCACCAAAACUAUCAAUUACAGUCAAUGGUGAAAGAAGAAACAAUCUAUGAUUUAAAAAAUAUUAGGUGGGCUAGAGAGAUGAUUCAGUGGUUAAGAGCACUGACUGCUCUUCCAGAGGUCCUGAGUUCAAUUCCCAGCAACCACACGAUGGCUCACAACCAUCAGUAAUGGGAUUUGAUGCCCUCUUCUGGUAUGUCUGAAGACAGCUGCAGUGUACUCAUAAAACCAAAUAAGAAAGAAUAAAAACAGGCAACUUUGGGAGGUAGGAGGUUGGGGGAAACCCUCCAGAAUGUACCAGAGACCUGAGAGGUGAGAGACUCUCAGAACUCAUAGGGAGGGACUUUAGAUGAAAUGCCCUAUAGUAGCAAGAGGGAACUUAUAGAGCCACCUCCAUCAGAAAGACAUGGCAUCAAGUAAGGGAUGGGGUUGCCAUCCCACAGUCAAAACUCUGACCCACAAUUGUUCCUGUCUGAAAGAACUGCAGGGAUGGAAAUGGAGAGAAGUCUGAGGAAAGGAAGGUCCAACGCGGGCCAAAAGUGGGAUCCAGCUCAAGGGGAGGCGCCAAGGCCUGACACUGAGACUAUGGAGCACUCACACAAAGGGACCUAUCAUGACUGUGCUACAUCCACUCCAGUAGUGACAAGUAUAACCAAAACCUGGGCACUGUCCUGAGGCAAAAAGUUCACAGAAACUUAGUCUCCUGGAAGCGUGGCAUCCUGUAUAACAAAUGCUCCAAUGUUCUUGCUUUAAAGUCUGUUUUGUCAGAUAUAACUAUACCUGCCCCAUUUUUUCUUCAUUUUCUUGGAAUGCAUUUUCUAUAAUUUUACCCUGUGCUGAUAUAUACCCUUGAUGGCUACAUCUUGAUGCAGUAGAAAGUUGAAUCCUGUUUUCUAAUCCAAUCUGUAAAUCUCUGUCAUAUAAUUGGGAAAUUGCAGCCACUAAUAUUGGGAAUUAUUAAUGAGCAUUAUUUAUUGGCUUUUGUGAUCUAAGGAGGAACCAGAGUAAAUACUUAGAACUAUAGAUAGCUGAGUUACACCCCUACAUAAGUAUUUACAAUGGCCUAGGGGGAAGGUGGACUAUACAAUAGACUAGAAUAGGAACUAUGGCCAGGGCAUGAAACCCUUGCCCCUGGCUUCUAAAUUUAAACUGACUUUAGGUGGGGCUGUUUUUGAUCCCAGUAGUUAACAUUGAAUUGUAUCCCAGUUGGUUCCUGCCAGUCCUUCUGUGUUUGCAUUCCUCUGUUUUAUGUAAGAAUCCAGUAACCUCAUUGUACCUUGCUGGUGUGUCACCUAACUUCCCUAUUUUCUUCUGUAUAAAAAGUUUAAUGCUGGAUUUGACAUUACAUUCAGAUCCACACUCCCUUGUGUCGAGUCUGUUUGUCACCCCACUUUCGCCAACUCCUUUGCCUACCUACAACCAGAACCCAUUCCGUGCAGAUAGGAGACCCAGAAGGGGUAAGUCUGUGGCAUGACUGCCCUCAGAAAGACCCAACAAACAGCUGGAAGAGUCAGAUGAAGAUAUUUGCAAACAACCAAUGGAUAGAAGCUGCUGACUACCUGUGACUGAAUUAGGGAAAAGCUGAAUGAAGCAGAAGAGGAAGACAACCCUAUAGGAGGACUAGCAGUCUCAGUUAACUUGGACUCCCGAGAUCUCUCAAACACUGAACCACCAACAGGCAGCAUACAUCAGCUGGUAUGAGGCCAAUGCACAUACAGCAGAGGAUUGCUGAGUCUGGGUUCAGUCAAAGAAGAUUCACCUAACCCUCAAGAGACUGGAGGCCCUAGGAAGUUUAGAGGUCUUGGGGGUGAGGAGGGUAGAGGGUUGGUAGGGACAUCCUUAUGGAGGCAGGGGGUGGGAAGGAGGUAUGGGAUGUGAAACAGUUGGAGGGUGGACCAGGAGGAGAAUGAAAUCGGGAAUGUAAAAAAAAUAAAUAAAAUGUAAAAACAAAACAAAACAACCAACUAGGUAAUGUCUGUCCAAUAUGCCAGCUUUCCAGAGGUACUAGAUGGAAAGUUCAGCCUGAAGAGAAGGUUCACUAUACAUGAGAACAUAAUGCAUACGUAAUCCUAAAACAGUAAAUUAAAAGAGGCAA